rnacentral:lncRNA from 1 species
UUUCAAAUGAUUAUGGUCAGAAUAAACUUGUCCAAUCUUUUUGCAUUGGUACAAAGUGUACAGUCACACAUGUGGACAUGUUUUCCAAUAGCAAACUCUGCUUGUAUUAAAAAUGUGGAAUACAUAUUUAAAAAAAGGGCAUUGGGAAAACCAAACUUGGGCCUUAACCCAACUUCAUUUCUGAGUGAGGUAUUUGAUGCUAUUAAGUGCUAUAAUGUAAUAGAAACAAAAUGUAUUGACUAUUUCUUUAAAAGACUAUCAUCAUGGUGAUUGCAACCAUUUUUCUUGGAUUGAUUGCCUAAAUGCAUUUAUGAUAAAAAUAAAUUUUAUGAAAAUUGUUUUUAACAUGUUAUGGAUGACCUUUAUGAUAAUCUGCUAUUACUUAUUGUAGCAAGGCACAAACUACAUAUUCUAUUUAAUGUUUGAAUUAUGAAAAGAACAUGUACACAGUAUUUCAUAAAAUAUCGGAAACUCUGAUAGAUGUUUCAAAUAUAGAAAAAUAAAAUAUUCUGAAGGUAAUGGUGUAAAAGCUAAAAUUGUAUAGGUGUAAAAACUAAAAUUCAAUAAUUAUUACAAUAUUGAAACAGCAACAAAAAAAAUUACAGGUAUAUAAUCAUGACAGUGAUAAUUGUAUUUGAUAUCAUAAUUUUUAUUGGUAAUAGUUUAUAAUUAGAAAAUGGAGAUGUGGCGAUGAGACAAACUUCUAAAGAUAUACUGUUAAAUAAAAAAAGUUUUACAGUUACAAUUUACCAUGUCAUACCUUUUUUGAGGGUUGAAUUUAAUUUAAUUGUUUGUGAACCAACAAAAAAAUGCAAUAAUGGCUAUGUUUUGUGUUGUUUAAUUAGACUUUUUUCUAUACAUCAUGAUAAUGCCUA